rnacentral:rRNA from 1 species
CCUACGGGAGGCAGCAGUGAGGAAUAUUGGUCAAUGGACGAGAGUCUGAACCAGCCAAGUAGCGUGAAGGAUGACUGCCCUAUGGGUUGUAAACUUCUUUUAUGUGGGAAUAAAAUGUUCCACGUGUGGGAUUUUGUAUGUACCAUAUGAAUAAGGAUCGGCUAACUCCGUGCCAGCAGCCGCGGUAAUACGGAGGAUCCGAGCGUUAUCCGGAUUUAUUGGGUUUAAAGGGAGCGUAGGUGGAUUGUUAAGUCAGUUGUGAAAGUUUGCGGCUCAACCGUAAAAUUGCAGUUGAAACUGGCAGUCUUGAGUACAGUAGAGGUGGGCGGAAUUCGUGGUGUAGCGGUGAAAUGCUUAGAUAUCACGAAGAACUCCGAUUGCGAAGGCAGUUCACUGGACUUCAACUGACACUGAGGCUCGAAAGUGUGGGUAUCAAACAGGAUUAGAUACCCCGGUAGUC